rnacentral:rRNA from 1 species
UCCUACGGGAGGCAGCAGUAGGGAAUCUUCCGCAAUGGACGAAAGUCUGACGGAGCAACGCCGCGUGAGUGAUGAAGGCUUUCGGGUCGUAAAACUCUGUUGUUAGGGAAGAACAAGUGCUAGUUGAAUAAGCUGGCACCUUGACGGUACCUAACCAGAAAGCCACGGCUAACUACGUGCCAGCAGCCGCGGUAAUACGUAGGUGGCAAGCGUUAUCCGGAAUUAUUGGGCGUAAAGCGCGCGCAGGUGGUUUCUUAAGUCUGAUGUGAAAGCCCACGGCUCAACCGUGGAGGGUCAUUGGAAACUGGGAGACUUGAGUGCAGAAGAGGAAAGUGGAAUUCCAUGUGUAGCGGUGAAAUGCGUAGAGAUAUGGAGGAACGCCAGUGGCGAAGGCGACUUUCUGGUCUGUAACUGACACUGAGGCGCGAAAGCGUGGGGAGCAAACAGGAUUAGAUACCCUGGUAGUCCACGCCGUAAACGAUGAGUGCUAAGUGUUAGAGGGUUUCCGCCCUUUAGUGCUGAAGUUAACGCAUUAAGCACUCCGCCUGGGGAGUACGGCCGCAAGGCUGAAACUCAAAGGAAUUGACGGA